AAUAAACCCAAAAAUGUAAUCCAUGUAAUUUCUUCCUGUAAUUCUCUGUUCAGAAAGUUAAAUAGGUAAACCAAAUUGACUACAUUUUUCGAAGUGGUUGCUGACACAAGAUGACACAGUUGAUUUUUUUUUAAUGGUUGGUGCACUCUUCCUUCUAACAGGGAUUCCCAGAUGUCAUUCACUAUAACUCCCAGCAUCCCCAGCUGCAGUGGCCUUUGGCUGGGGAUUAUAGGAGUUGUAGUCAACAACAUCUGGGAAUCCCUGUUAGAAGGAAUACUGGUGGAGGGGUCCUAACUGUGGGCAUCCCUUGUGCCCACAGAUUAUUCCCAGAGUGUUCCCCUCCAUGUUGCCAUGUACCCCAAAUGGGCUGGAUCAUCCCAAACAUUUGACAUCAUUCUUUUGGUAUUUAUAUUGCAUCAGUUCACUCACUCUUAUGUCUGAAAGUAAUCAAGAUUUGCAUCUACUGCUUUAUCAGCAAACAGUUCUUUAAUCUUUUCUGGCAUUAAUUUUAUUGGACCAGUAACAGCUGAACAAUUGAAAUGCAUGCUAUCUUCACCUGCAUGAUCCAAAAGACACAUAUCCCCAGGGAUGCCACUGCAAUACCAGUGAUGUAAAUGCACUUGGACUGACGUCCAUAACUUGAGAAAGAGCCAAAAUUAACUUUCAGGAAUGGAACACUGAUCACUAACAAAUUCUCCUAAUUCAAACUUACUUGCAAACAAAAUUAUGUUCUAUCUUUCUCUUAUUUCAACCAUUAUGGAUAUUCUUGGAUGUUGCUGUCUUGUUGUUUUUUGGAACUUUUGGGGAUUUGGGAAAAACGAAAGUCCAAUGUUUCGGAAUUUAGGGCAAAGCUGAAUGGUGAGAUAUGGUUUCCCUGCAAAAAAGGAAAGAAGCUGGAAUUUAAUGACUCCUUAAGCAAAGCAAAUGGCCUUGGCUUCGUUCAUACCACACUUUCUGUGCCUUGUACUAUUAAUGUAAAUUCUGAAUGUUGUACAGUAUAAAUGCUCUUUGGAAAAGUGGCAGUGGCUUCUUUUUCAGAACACAUACACAUUGUAUAAAUAGCUAUAUCAUAUAUGUAUCUAUGUAUGUAUGUGCAUAUACAUACACACACACACACACCCCAAACUAAAUAUACUUGUGUGUGUGUGUGUGUGUGCAAACACACACAUAUGUGUGUUGUGUGUAUAUACACAAAAACAUACACACACCAUGCGAGUUAUCUUAUAUGAGGAAAAACAAAAUAACCAAGACUUUCAAUGCUUUAUGUAGAGUUUGCAUACAAUUGUAUGGUUCAAAAAGCCUUUGAAGAUGUACAGAAUUACUGCAGAUCAGUUAUUUAUGAAUAAAAGAGCCUUUUACUGAGA